rnacentral:lncRNA from 1 species
AGAGAAAAUCUGUGAUUGCAGUGAGCUUCAUAGCAGCGUUCCUCUUCCUGCUGGUUGUGCGCCUUGUAAAUGAAGCGAAUUUCCCAUUGCUACUAAACUGCUUUGGACAACCUGGUACAAAAUGGAUACCAUUCUCCUAUACGUACAGACGGCCCCUUCGAACUCACUAUGGAUACAUAAAUGUGAGGACGCAAGAGGCAAAGGAAGACACUGAGAAUGCCUUGGUCAGCAUCCUCCAGUCAAUGGUUUCAUGGAGGCUUCAUCUGUUCCAGUGGUAAAGCUCAUUGACCACACUUGCUGCAUCCACUGCAUGCUGGCCUCUGUGCUAGGCUCUGGAAUUGUAAAGAAGAAAACACUUUUUGUCUAAAAGUACAGAACAGUUUUUCAUAAUGUUAACUGGUAAUAAACGAGAUGGAGUAGUAUGUGUAGAGGGUUAUUUUAACUCUUUUUUUUUUUUUUUUUUUUUUUUUUUUUUUUUGUCUUUUGUCUUGUUGUUGUUGUUGUUGCUAUUUCUUGGGCCGCUCCCGCGGCACAUGGAGGUUCCCAGGCUAGGGGUUGAAGCGGAGCUGUAGCCACCGGCCUACGCCAGAGCCACAGCAACGCGGGAUCCGAGUCGCGUCUGCAACCUACACCACAGCUCACGGCAACGCCGGAUCGUUAACCCACUGAGCAAGGGCAGGGACCGAACCCGCAACCUCAUGGUUCCUAGUCGGAUUCGUUAACCACUGCGCCACGACGGGAACUCCCUAUUUUAACUCUUUAAAUGUAGACACAGAAAGAAGGUUUGGAGACAGUCCCUGGAAAUAUGAACUGUAGUCUAUGAGUCUAUGUCUAGAGUCUAUGUCUGGGUGGUAAAUUUUAGAUAACCUUUUUCUUCAACUUGUUUUCCAAUUUUUAUACAGUGAUCAGGUAUUGUAUUUAUUACUAGAACAAAUUACUAGAAUCAAGUACUUUAUUUUUAUUGUUUUAGCAGUAUCUAUCUGUGAAACACUCAAGCUGUUAAUAUUAUCUAGAAAAUAGAAUUUAAAAUGUCCAGAUACGAAGUCCUGUUGUGGUGCAGGGGGAUAAGGAUCCAGCUGCAGCAGCUUGGCUUACUGCUGCGGCAUGGAUUUUAUCCAGGGCGCUGGGACUUUCACAUGCCAUGGGUGCAGUCUAAAAAAUAAUUAAAUGUCCAGUAUAAGUAUAUUGUCGGAGUACUUUUAGAAGUGAGUACUCUUGGAGUUCCUGUCAUGGCUCAGUGAUAACCAACCCUGACUAGUAUCCAUGAGGACGUGGGUUCAGUCCCCAGCUUUGCUCAGUGUAUUAAGGAUCCAGCAUUGCUCUGAGAUGUGGUGUGGGCUGGUGCAUGCAGUUAGUAUCUCAUAUUGCUAUGGCUGUGGUGUAGGCUGGCAGCUACAGCUCUGAUUUUACCCCUAGCCUGGGAACUGCUAUAAGCGGGUUCAGCCCUUAAAACAAACAACUAUACAAGCAAAAAGACAAAAAUAAAAGGGCAAAAAUAAACCAGUGGGACCUAAUCAAAACUGUCAAGCUUUUGCACAGCAAAGGAAACCAUAAAAAAACCAAAAAGACAACCUAUGGAAUGGGAGAAAAUAGUUUCAAACGAAGCACCACUAAUUAUUAGAGAAAUACAAAUCAAAACUGCUUGAGGUACAACCUCACACUGGUCAGAAUGGCCAUCAUUAAUAAGUCAACAAAUAACAAAUGCUGGAGAGAAUGUGGAGAAAAGGAUACCGUCCUACACUGUUGGGAAUGUAAAUUGGUGCAAGCACUAUGGAAAACAGUAUGGAGGUACUCAGAAAACUAAGUAUAGAACUACCAUGUGACCCAGCAAUCCCACUCUUGGGCAUAUAUCUGGGUAAAACUUUCCUUGAAAAAGACAUAUGCACCUGUAUGUUCAUUGCAUCACUGUUCACAAUAGGCAAGACAUGGAAACAACCUAAAUGUCCAUCGACGGAUGAAUGGAUUAAGAACAUGUAGUAUAUAUACGCAAUAUAAUACUACUCGGCCAUAAAAAAGAACAAAAUAAUGCCAUAUGCAGCAACAUGGAUGGAACUAGAGACUCUCAUCCUGAAUGAAGUAAGUCAGAAAGAGAAAGCCAAAUGCCAUAUGACAUCACUUAUAUCUGGAAUCUAAUAUGUGGCACAAGUAAACCUUUCCACAGAAGAGAAACGCGUGGACUUGGAGAAGAGAUUUGUGGUUGCCAAGGCGGAGGGGGAGGGAGUGGAAUGAACUGGGAGUCUGGGGUUUAUAGAUGCAUUCUGUUGUAUUUGGAGUGGGUAAGCAAUGAGAUCCUGCUGUAUAGCACAGGGAACUAUAUCUAAUCACUUGUGAUGGAACAUGAUCGAUGCUAAUGUGAGAAAAAGAAUGUAUAUAGGUGUGUGUGUGUGACUGGGUCACUUUGCUGUACAGUAUAAAAUUGACAGAACACUGUAAACCAAUUAUAAUCAAAAAAUAAAAAUCAUUGAAAUUAAAAAAUAAUUUAAAAA